rnacentral:rRNA from 1 species
UACGUAGGGUGCGAGCGUUGUCCGGAAUUAUUGGGCGUAAAGGGCUCGUAGGCGGUCUGUCGCGUCGGGAGUGAAAACUCGGGGCUUAACUCCGAGCCUGCUUCUGAUACGGGCAGACUAGAGGUAUGCAGGGGAGAAUGGAAUUCCUGGUGUAGCGGUGAAAUCCGUUGAUAUCAGGAGGAACACCGGUGGCGAAGGCGGUUCUCUGGGCAUGUCCUGACGCUGAGGAGCGAAAGUGUGGGGAGCGAACAGG